CCGGUUGACACGGCCACGGGCUUCUCUGUCUGGAAGACCAGGGACCAGGGCCUAAGGCCCCAGUCCUCAGGUCUCGGGUCGCCGUGCCCACCUGAUGUCCGCGGCAAGCGUUGGACUUGACCGUCAACUUGGGAUUUCUAAGGUAGACCUUAGAACUACCUUGAACUUUGGUCAGCAGCAGUACCACCCACAUUCACUAGGUGUCGCUUUUUCCUUGCUUUGUUUCUUCCUCUCCAACUGUUUCCACAGUACUUUCAGUUUCUCUUCGUUUUGUCUUUCUUUUAUUUUUCUUGCUCCUCUUUGUACACACUGAAGUUACUGUUGUUUUACAUUUACCUUUUAUUUAUUUAUAAUUUUUGAGGCAGGUUGGAGUGUAAGAAUGCAAUCUCGGCUUACCGCCGCCUCGACAUUCCAGGCCUCCCUCAGGUGAUCUUCCUAUCUCAGCCUUCCAAGUGGCUAAGACUACAGGAGUCACUUAAUUCUGUGAUGUCGAAGCUGAAGUGAGCCGUGAUCAUGCCAUUGCCCUCCAGUCUGAGUGUUUCAGAAGGUGUCAUCUCACAUGUCCGGGUGAUUGCAAACUUUUAGGCUCCAGAGAUCCUCCCGCAUCGGCCUCCCGGAGUGCUGUGAUGACACGCGUGGGCACGACGGAGUUUCACUCUUGUCGCCCAGGGUGGAGGACGAUGGCGCGAUGUCGGCUCACCGCACCCUCCGCCUCCCAGGUUCGAGUGAUUCUCCUGCCUCAGCCUUCACGAGUAGCUGGAAUGACAGCAAUGAGCCAUCGUGCCCGGCUAGGUUUUCUAGUUUUAGUACACAUGGGGUUUCUCCAUCUUAGUCAGGCUGGUCUUCAACUUCCGACCAUUGGAGAAUUUUAACUUUCUUGGUGGUUGUUUUUCUUUUUCUGUUUUUCUUUUCUUUUCUUUUCUUUCCUUCUCCUUCCCCCCCCCACCCCCCCUUGUCCUCCUCCUCCUCCUCCUCCUGCUCUUUCAUUUCUUUCAGCUGGGCUCUCCUACUUGUGUUGCUCUGUUGCUCACGCUGGUCUCAAACUCCUGGCCUUGACACUUCUCCCGUCACAUCCGCCGUCUGGUUGUUGAAAUGAGCAUCUCUCGUCAAAUGGAAAAGAUGAAAGAAAUAAACACGAAGACGAAAAGCACGGUGUGAAGGUUUCUCUUGCCGUCUCCCAGGGUGUACCUUGGACCCAGAAACACGUUGGGAGCUUGGCUGAGAGAGGUAUGGGAGAGGACUGACGCGCCUUCCACAUCUAUAUCCUGCCGGACGUCUCUGGCUCGGCGUGCCCCACCGGCUACCUGCCACCU